rnacentral:rRNA from 1 species
AUUGAACGCUGGCGGCAGGCCUAACACAUGCAAGUCGAGCGGAUGAAGGGAGCUUGCUCCUGGAUUCAGCGGCGGACGGGUGAGUAAUGCCUAGGAAUCUGCCUGGUAGUGGGGGAUAACGUCCGGAAACGGGCGCUAAUACCGCAUACGUCCUGAGGGAGAAAGUGGGGGAUCUUCGGACCUCACGCUAUCAGAUGAGCCUAGGUCGGAUUAGCUAGUUGGUGGGGUAAGGGCCUACCAAGGCGACGAUCCGUAACUGGUCUGAGAGGAUGAUCAGUCACACUGGAACUGAGACACGGUCCAGACUCCUACGGGAGGCAGCAGUGGGGAAUAUUGGACAAUGGGCGAAAGCCUGAUCCAGCCAUGCCGCGUGUGUGAAGAAGGUCUUCGGAUUGUAAAGCACUUUAAGUUGGGAGGAAGGGCAGUAAGUUAAUACCUUGCUGUUUUGACGUUACCAACAGAAUAAGCACCGGCUAACUUCGU